rnacentral:rRNA from 1 species
UACGGGGGGGGCAAACGUUGUUCGGAAUUACUGGGCGUAAAGGGCGCGUAGGCGGCCUGCUAAGUCGGGUGUGAAAACUCUGGGCUCAACCCAGAGCCUGCAUUCGAUACUGACGGGCUAGAGUUCUGGAGGGGAAAGCGGAAUUCCUGGUGUAGCGGUGAAAUGCGUAGAUAUCAGGAGGAACACCGGUGGCGAAGGCGGCUUUCUGGACAGAAACUGACGCUGAGGCGCGAAAGCUAGGGGAGCAAACAGG